UGGGGAAUCUUGCACAAUGGGGGAAACCCUGAUGCAGCGACGCCGCGUGAGCGAUGAAGCCCUUCGGGGUGUAAAGCUCUUUCGGCAGGGACGAUUAUGACGGUACCUGCAGAAGAAGCUGCGGCUAACUACGUGCCAGCAGCCGCGGUAAUACGUAGGCAGCAAGCGUUGUUCGGAAUUACUGGGCGUAAAGAGUGCGUAGGCGGUUGGCUAAGUUUGGUGUGAAAUCUCCCGGCUCAACUGGGAGGGUGCGCCGAAAACUGGCCGGCUAGAGUGUGGGAGAGGAAAGUGGAAUUCCUGGUGUAGCGGUGAAAUGCGUAGAUAUCAGGAGGAACACCGGUGGUGUAGACGGCUUUCUGGACCACUACUGACGCUGAGGCACGAAAGCGUGGGGAGCAAA
rnacentral:rRNA from 1 species